AGACGCCCUUUAGGCAUGAAGCAGCACGGGCAUCACUGGCUUUCACGGCUGGUGUGUUUCCAGACGAGCAGCAAAUGGCUGUGGGCCGUGGGAAACGUCCGUUGCAGGACAGUGAUGACUCGGACGAGUACCUGCCUCAACAGGACAAUGAUGAUGACGAGGAGGGGGAGGAUGAUGAGUAUGAGGAUGAAGAUGGUGAGCUGAUGAAG